rnacentral:misc_RNA from 1 species
ACAGUUAGGGUUUAGAUCCUAACAGUAGCCAGAGUUGGUUAUAUGCAAGAAUGAACCUGCAGCUAUUUGAGAGACAAGCGGGCCAGAGUUUAGCAUCUUUUGAAAUAGUAAAAUUUCUAGUAUUUGGGCAAAGCUCUCCUAUUCUCUACACAGGAAGCAUUUCCUAGGGGUGGAAACAGACAUCAAUUUAUCUUUUCUUUAUUUGCUAUUGCUUUUGUGAAAGAAUUAAAGAUUAUUGUAAUUGAACUUUUAUUGCUGAAUCAAUACAAUUAUUUUACUCAAUAUUUUCUUCUCUAUUACCUUUAUUAUUAUUUCUGGUCCCUUCUCUAUUAGACUGUUAGCUGACAGCAGUGUUGUUAAAGGUGACAAAAGGUGCUAGGCGAGGCGCCAGGUGAGGCAAGGCAAGCCCUUGGCGCCUCGUCUGGCUGAGGUGAGUCAACUUGAAAGA